rnacentral:rRNA from 1 species
UACGUAGGAGGCAAGCGUUGUCCGGAAUUACUGGGCGUAAAGCGCGUGUAGGCGGUCUGAAUAGUCUGCUGUGAAAGCGCCUGGCUUAACCGGGCGAGGUCGGCGGAAACUCUCAGACUGGAGGCCGGUAGAGGGGGGUGGAAUUCCCGGUGUAGUGGUGAAAGUGCGUAGAGAUCGGGAGGAACACCUGUGGCGAAGGCGGCCCCUGGCCGCGCCUGACGCUGAGACGCGAGGCUAGGGAGCGAACGGG